rnacentral:rRNA from 1 species
UGGGGAAUAUUGCACAAUGGGGGAAACCCUGAUGCAGCGACGCCGCGUGAGCGAAGAAGGCCUUCGGGUCGUAAAGCUCUUUUAUGAGGGAAGAUAAUGACGGUACCUCAAGAAAAAGCCCCGGCUAACUACGUGCCAGCAGCCGCGGUAAUACGUAGGGGGCUAGCGUUGUCCGGAAUCACUGGGCGUAAAGGGUUCGCAGGAGGAAUAACAAGUCAGAUGUGAAAGGCAUGGGCUCAACCCAUGUAAGCAUUUGAAACUGUAAUUCUUGAGAAGUGGAGAGGUAAGUGGAAUUCCUAGUGUAGCGGUGAAAUGCGUAGAUAUUAGGAGGAAUACCUGUGGCGAAGGCGACUUACUGGACACAAAUCUGACGCUGAGGAACGAAAGCGUGGGUAGCAAACAGG